rnacentral:sRNA from 1 species
AGAUUCUUGCACAACACAGUUUAACCUCCAAAACUAUGUCUCAGAUUUUUCCUAUUGCAUUUCAUUCUCUCAUAAAUCUUCAAUGAAGUUUGCAGUAUCAAUUCAUAAGAGACCACUAAAUUCAAUUGGGUAUAAAAUUUGUUCUAUUGAUGUUUUUGGGAAAUCUGAGACACAGUUUUGGAGGUCAAGCUGUGUUGUACAAGAAUCU